rnacentral:rRNA from 1 species
GUAGGGAAUAUUGGGCAAUGGAUGGAAGUCUGACCCAGCCAUGCCGCGUGCAGGAAGAAGGCGCUACGCGUUGUAAACUGCUUUUAACCGGGAAGAAACCCCAGGACGUGUCCUGGGUUGACGGUACCGGAGGAAUAAGCACCGGCUAACUUCGUGCCAGCAGCCGCGGUAAUACGAAGGGUGCAAGCGUUAUCCGGAUUCAUUGGGUUUAAAGGGUGCGUAGGCGGAGCGUUAAGUCAGUGGUGAAAUCCUGCAGCUUAACUGUAGACUUGCCAUUGAUACUGGCGCUCUUGAGUGCGCUUGAAGUGGGCGGAAUGUGCCGUGUAGCGGUGAAAUGCUUAGAUAUGGCACAGAACACCAAUUGCGAAGGCAGCUCACUAAGGCGAUACUGACGCUGAGGCACGAAAGCGUGGGGAUCGAACAGGAUUAGAAACCCUUGUAGUCC